rnacentral:rRNA from 1 species
GAGUGGUUAAUACCGCAUACGCCCUACGGGGGAAAGGGGGGGAUCGCAAGACCUCUCACUAUUGGAGCGGCCGAUAUCGGAUUAGCUAGUUGGUGGGGUAAAGGCUCACCAAGGCAACGAUCCGUAGCUGGUUUGAGAGGACGACAAGCCACACUGGGACUGAGACACGGCCCAGACUCCUACGGGAGGCAGCAGUGGGGAAUUUUGGACUAUGGGGGAAACCCUGAUCUAGCCAUCCCGCGUGUAUGAUGAAGGCCUUCGGGUUGUAAAGUACUUUUGGCCGAGAAGAAAAGGUAUCCCCUAAUACGGGAUACUGCUGACGGUAUCUGCAGAAUAAGCACCGGCUAACUACGUGCCAGCAGCCGCGGUAAUACGUAGGGUGCAAGCGUUAAUCGGAAUUACUGGGCGUAAAGCGUGUGUAGGCGGUUCGGAUAGAAAGAUGUGAAAUCCCAGGGCUCAACCUUGGAACUGCAUUUUUAACUGCCGAGCUAGAGUAUGUCAGAGGGGGGUAGAAUUCCACGUGUAGCAGUGAAAUGCGUAGAUAUGUGGAGGAAUACCGAUGGCGAAGGCAGCCCCCUGGGAUAAUACUGACGCUCACACACGAAAGCGUGGGGAGCAAACACGAUUAGAUACCCUGGUAGUCCACGCCCUAAUCAAUGUCUACUAGCUGUUGGGGCCGUUAGGCCUUAGUAGCGCAGCUAACGCGUGAAGUUGACCGCCUGGGGAGUACGGUCGCACGAUUAAACUCAAAGGAAUUGAC